rnacentral:antisense_RNA from 1 species
AGACGACAGGUCUGGGAUCAGGGAGUCUUCAAGGCCCCCGCUGAGGGGACAGCGAAUCUACCAUUGAACCGUGCACAGGGGACAUGGACAAAAUGAGACGCGACAGGGACAAGAGCAUUUUGCUCUGCUUCCAGGAAACAUCAAGUUGCUUGUCUGGAGAUGGAGCCACUACGGGCAGGGCCUGGGCGCCUGGAGUCGGGCAUGAAAGAAAAUAGCGCCUCAUCGCUCUUAUCUAAGCCCAGAGGUCCAGGGGACAACCUGAGGGCCCUGAAGUGUUUCAAUACCAUGUACCAGCUUGGCUUCUCUACAUGUCCUUUGGAUUGCCCAAAAGCAAAAUCUCAGAGGGGCCAAGGACCUUCUAGGGCUGGCUCCCUCAGGGCCUCCUAUAGAGCAGCUCCUUGAGUCGGGCCUUAUAGCCACCAGAAAGUCACCUCGCCGCAGGAAAGCUAUAAAGAGCUGCUCCAGAGGCGCCGAAAGCGGGUCGACUUCGCUUGAAAAGAUCGAGAAUGGAGGAGGGGAUCGGCACUCACUUGCAGACAUCAACAGUUUCCAGAAAAUUCGGUUCAAUUCCUUCACCACGGACCCACCAACCAAGGAGCUGGCAAAACCCGCUAACCAACCAGGAGAACACAGACCCGGUUUGUCUUUUGACAACCGAGUGGAACUGACGGGGCCGGCGCCUGCCCUGCGGGUCCCCUCCCUUGGCUGAGAAGAAAACCAAAUAAACCUUGAACAGCCUUGGCU